UCCAUCUAUUUAAUUUCGGCAGUUUUCUUAUAUUAGAAACUUACUAUAAGUUCCUACAAAUAAGAAUAAGGGUUGCGCCCGUUAAUGGAGCCAACCAAACAUCUCAAAACACGAGCUAACGACAGCCAUGCAGCACCUGUCCACUGUUCAAAUACCUAAUAUAACAAUCAAGAUAUUUUGUCUCUUUCAAAAACUUAAACAGCGAUUCAAAAACUGGUAAGGUUUUGCGCGUUAUAUCGCAUUAAACCAGAUGCUCCACCGCUUGUUCGGACCUCCGUCAAUUCCUUUGAGUUUCAACCUUGCGACUUUAGUACCCAGGCGGAAUGUUUACGCGUUAGCUUAAAUACCGGAAUUAUUCCCGACACCUAACAUUCAUCGGUCAGGGCGUGGACUAC
rnacentral:misc_RNA from 1 species